AUUCUGAGUGAAUUCAGUUUCAAAGUCCUGCAGCCUGAGUGCAAGCAGCUGUCGCUGUAUCUGCGCCGUGUGUUUGCCUCAGUGAUCAACAGUGAGUUUGUGAAGAUGUACGAACGAUCGCUGACUUCAGGAUCGAAAGAAACUCCAGCAGCAGCAGAAAAACCCAGCAGGAAACGCAGACGCACACACAGUUUGACCAGCCGUUUGGAAACUCCAGCUGUAACGUCACACACACGCCGUGUCGACAUGGACGAUGAUUUCACAGACGGGUAUUUAUAUCCAUUCAUAAACUACAUUACUAAAAGGACAUAAUACAUAUGCAUAG
rnacentral:lncRNA from 1 species